rnacentral:lncRNA from 1 species
CUAGCUCCUACUUACUGAUGAAGAAAUAGAAUCAACUCUCAAAAUGAAAAGCCCACUCUAUCAGAACCUAAACAGCCCUCCAACAGUCAUCUGUCUCCUGCCAGGACCCCACAUUGGUUUAACUCACCCUGGAAGCCAUGGGCAAGGAGCCUGGGAAAUGUAGUUCCUGCAGAGGAAUCCUGGAGGGGCAAGGAACCAAUCUGAGAGCAAACAGGCAAUUGCCAGCACAGCCAAGAAUGACUAUCUAUGGGGCCUUGUAUGAACCACUU